rnacentral:rRNA from 1 species
GAUGAACGCUGGCGGCGUGCCUAAUACAUGCAAGUCGAGCGAACAGAUGAGGAGCUUGCUCCUCUGACGUUAGCGGCGGACGGGUGAGUAACACGUGGAUAACCUACCUAUAAGACUGGGAUAACUUCGGGAAACCGGAGCUAAUACCGGAUAAUAUAUUGAACCGCAUGGUUCAAUAGUGAAAGACGGUUUUGCUGACACUUAUAGAUGGAUCCGCGCCGCAUUAGCUAGUUGGUAAGGUAACGGCUUACCAAGGCGACGAUGCGUAGCCGACCUGAGAGGGUGAUCGGCCACACUGGAACUGAGACACGGUCCAGACUCCUACGGGAGGCAGCAGUAGGGAAUCUUCCGCAAUGGGCGAAAGCCUGACGGAGCAACGCCGCGUGAGUGAUGAAGGUCUUCGGAUCGUAAAACUCUGUUAUUAGGGAAGAACAAAUGUGUAAGUAACUAUGCACGUCUUGACGGUACCUAAUCAGAAAGCCACGGCUAACUACGUG